rnacentral:rRNA from 1 species
CGUUAGUCGUCCUAAUCAGGCGUAAAGGGUGUGUAGGCUGCUUUCAAAGUCAUAUCUUUCAAAUAGCUCUUAUAACGAAGAUCUGUUUAAAGGCAUAAUACUUUAAAUAUCUUCAUUCUAAGGUAAAGAUAGGAUGAAUAAAAGCUAGAAUCAAAACGAGGAUAAGCCAAAUAAUACUUAGAGUAGGGUCGAUAUCCGUAGAUACUAAGUGGAAUAUUAAAAGUGAAAACUAUUUAUCUAGAAAUGAUUGACGCUGAGAAACGAAGGUGAGAAUAGGAAAUAGGAUUAGAUACCCAGAUACCUCUCACUGUCAACGAUGAAUGGUGGUUUGUUAGUUUGCAGAGAAACUAGUAA